UGUGACAGUGUGACAGGCCGUAAGGCGACCCUUUUGACGGAAAAUUGUACAGGUGUUUUUCGGAUCGACAAGUAUUCGAAUUGUGAAGUUUGAAAACUGCUUUGACGCAAAACAGUGACACGAUUCAUAGUUUUUUUCACUGCUGUAGGUGUUAUUCGGAUUGACGGCUAUUCGCAUUUUGAUUUUAGCUGAAAUUGUUCGUGAGCACAUCAAAGAAAUCUGAAUUUGGACAAUGUCGAAGGUAUACGUUUAAGUGUACGACGAUUACACCCUCAGUGGAAGAGACUUUCAGUCGAUCCAACGAAAUGAUAUGCGCCGAAUCGUGCUGAGCCCGGACAAUGUCCACUCGCUAGUUGUCACGGAAAUGAAGGAUGGAUGUCUUUGCAUCACCAAUGAAGCAAAAAUCCCGUUCGCUUUCACAAUCAGCCGUGAUCACAAACUGAAUGAAAAUGUGAAGUACAGUGGUGGGACAAUCUUCUGGUCAUCACCAACUGGCGAAUUUCUGGCAAAAUGGUUGAAAACAAGGAAAUUCAUUCGAAUCCAGAUCUCCACACAUCGCUCCACUUGAAUACCGAUGUGCACGUCGAUGGAAUUGGUCGUGUCGAUCUAAAGGUCGAUGACAGCUCAUGCGCUGCCUGCGUUUUUUCGAAAACCGAAUUAUUGUUCCUGCGCAUGAAUGGUAACCGGGUGGUACCACGAUUGGAAGGAUUCAUUGAAAAUGAAACGAAGACGCGAGUAGGCGCGGUCCAGAACCAGUUUCUGAACGCAUUGCUUGGAUAAAUUCGAAUCAGCAUAUGCAGACACGGCGGCGUGCAAAGCAAUUCUGUCACCUGAGGCAAAUUUUCAAAAUGUUGCCCCUAAAUUUUU